GCUGGCAGCCAUAUCACCCUGCAACUCACAACUGGCAACCCACUGAAGCUAAGCAAGUUGAGCCUGGUCAGUGCCUGGAUGGGAGACCUCCUGGGAAAAACUAAGGUUGCUGCUGGAA
rnacentral:rRNA from 1 species